CUUUCCAUCACGGGCGGUGGCAUUUGACUCUCUUCUGGGCUCGUCCAGAGCAUCAGAGCUACAUGGUUGUGGCAUCGUACGGCUUUCUGGCCGGCAGUUUCUUAUGCGUAAGAAUAGUUCUCUUUGCGUAGGACUCUCCUCCAUGUUUGUGUCUGAUAUUUGUGUGUAUGUCUGUCUGUUUGGGGCUGGAGCUGCUUUGCCUGUGGGUGUUAGCAGUGGUAAUGUGCAGAGUGUGGCAGUGAUGAACUGGAAUGAUGAUUAGUGAGCUUCUGUGUGCUCCACCUUAUGUUAUUUUUGUAGAUGUGGUGCAGCAUUCCCAGCGGGCCCGAGGGAGAUGGAGGAAGAAAGGGUCAUGCCCCAGGAAGGUGAGCUAGAGAUUUGUUGCUGGAAGCAGAGUCUUGUGGUCAGCAGUUCCCUGGUUAAUUUUUGCUUUGUGCUUGUAGGUGUGGAGCAACGUGGAGAGUGGGUCGCUUGCAUGCAGGAGGAGCACGGCAAGGUGGGUGGCAGGCCUUGGCGUGGUGACCUGUAGGCCAUGGCGGUCAGGAUGGGCGUGCAGAGCAGGUUUUGCUGGAAGUUGUGGAGAGGAAGUUGAGUGCUGACAAGAGCCUGAGCAGGUGAGAGGAGGUGCUUGUUGGGUCAGAGGUUUCUUGUGCCAUGGGUGGUGCUGGGCUGCCUGUUGGUGAUGGCUUUAGCUCUGCUUUUUCAGGUACUGCGUGGGCCUUUCCCAGGCAUGGUUGAGGAUGUCAGGUGAGCAGACUGGUGUUGGGCGUUGUAGGGCUGGUGAGCACUGCCUAGCAGAAGAGUCACUUUGUUAUUUUGUUUUUUGCAGGUGCUGCGGGCUCCCUCUGGGCACAAUGUUGGAGUUGGGAAUUGGCACAGUGCAGGUGAGAAGAGUGCCCAUGGGGUUUUGACGUAGAGUGCUCUUGCAGACGAGGCUGGAGCUGACUGGCCUGGGGGUGACCGCUUGCGCUCCAUUUUGGCAGGUGAUGAAGGUGAAUGUGGUGACCGGAGGAAGAUCAGAGAGGAUGCGGCUGUCAUUGAGAAUGUGUCUUGAAGACAGAUGGUGACCCAGAGCACUGCAGAAGCUAAGUUGAGGGGCCCUGGGUGUUGGUAUGUCUUGACUGUGUGUGUGUGCGUGUAUGCACUGACAGUGAGUGUAGAGUGGAGGGCUGUUCUGGAUGAAUGCUUUGUGUGAGGCAGAGGUGAUGGGGUGUGCAUGGCAGAAGGUGAGGGUGUUCUAGGCGGGGCAGCUCCAGCCUGUGUCUGUGUUGUUGUGUAGUCUAUGUGG
rnacentral:lncRNA from 1 species